GGCGCCUUCGGCAGGUCGUACCGGGGACAGUGGGCCCCCACAGCCCUCUUGAACUCUACGUGCAGUUAGGCGGUGGAGGGAACAAAAGAUACUCCUUGUCUGAAAAAUGCUGUGAGAGCAUUAAGGUUGGACAUAAGGAUCAGCCUUCCGGCUUGGAGGACUGGGUGCAAGGUGGGUGUGACAAAGAAAAGGAGCUCAAAACUGCCUCCUGUUCCAGCCUAACCGGACCACUGAAAAUUGCAUCACAAAAUGUAUGGUGACACAAAACUUCCACAUGGAGGGCCUGAGGGUUUGUGACGUCUGGACUGAUAAAAGUGAUGAUGUGGAAACACUAAUACCGAAGCAUGUGCAAGGUCAACUUGAGAAGUUGGUCCCAGCUCUGCUGCCUCUUCAAAAGUUAUCCUGUCCUGUCAGGUUUGGUUUUGUUUCUUUACUCAGGGAUGCUCUCAUAUUACCAAUGAGGCUGUGAAGUUUUUACAGGUGGGGACCUUAUCUUCUCUGAACAUGCCACAAGAUAGAGCACAUGGCCUGGCUUUCAGAGGGUAGGAUAAACAACGUGGUAAGAAAUUAGCGUCCUUCUUCCCGCUCCCCUAAAUCUCAUUCUCAAAAGAAUCGGAAGUAUCAUUCCUCCCUGCACGCCCUCAGGAUUGCUGUACCCUAGGGAUUUGGGUUUCCCUUGCCCAACCUGGAGUUGAUGGCCUCCUAGAGAAGCUGAGACCUUUACCCAGUUCCCCUAAAAUGCCCUAGGAGGUAAAGAACCUUCUAAAGAAAUGCCUGAAGAUGGCCAUGUACUGACCACUAAAUGCCACAGCUGGGCAGGAAACUAGAGGUCCUGUGGUCAAGCCCAUGGCUGGCCUGUAUGUGAUGAGGGCAUCUCUGUGAGCCCUGGAGUCUAGAACCAGACAUAAAGGUAAAUGGUAACAACAGCACCAACAUGGGCAGAGGAGGAGGCCCUUGACCUAUUUUCCUGUACCAUAUAAGGUCUAGAGUUCUUCUACUAUCACCUGGAAGGAGGAGGGAAAUUCCAACAGUGGCUAAUGUCAACCAUAGCCAAUCAUAGAGCAAUCAUGCUCUAAAUGAACAUACCAUGUCAAAAACGGGUCAAGAAAUGGAACAUUGCUGACCUUCCCGAAGCCUGCCUUGUGGUUCCUUCUGGUCACUACCCUCACCUUCCUUCUAUGAUGGUAGCCACUCUUCUGACCUCCACCCCUUAGAUUUGUUUAGCUAGUCUUGGAACUUUACAUAAAAGAAAUCUACAGUACGGAUUCUUUGUAUCUGGUUUCCUUCACUCACGUUGGGUUUGGGAACUUCAUCUAUCUUGCUGCAUGAGACUUAGAUGUGUUCAUUUUCAUUGCUGCAUAGUAUGGAAAUAUCACAGUUUUUAAAAUCCCCUUGAUGGAGGGGUGCCUGGGUGGCUCAGUGGGUUGAGCAUCUGACCCAUGGUUUCAGCUCAGGUCAUGAUCCCAGAGUGGUGAGAAUCAGAAUUUCCUGAAGUUCAGUUUCACAAAUGCCAUCUUUGUGAUUUUUGCCAUAUUCCUGCACCACCCGUACUACCACUUAAUAUUUUUCUUUCAACUGUCUAACUUUUAACAUUUAAAGAUCCGCUUUAGCCUUACCCUAAAAAAAUGACAGCUGUGAACUCACAGCUUUGAUGUGUGGCUACCUUGCUUUUGUUACGCAUUAAAAUAUGCAUAUAACUCUUCAAAUAAAUUGGUCAGUUGGCUACCUAUGUGAGAUAUUCUCUGUUGCCUCCUCCUGCUCCUUUCCCAGCCCUGCUCUGUGUGGGAAGCUGACCUCCACAGACUGCCUCAGCCGGCUCUCUUGCCCUCUGCCUUUGCGUGUGUCUGGCUGAGAGGCACUGGAGGGUGGCUAGAGGACAGGGUAUUUCUCCCUAUCCCAGCUGGCAGUUGGCUCCAUUCUCUAUCGAAGGCUACAGGUCUGGUCAGGCAGCCCUCUC